rnacentral:rRNA from 1 species
UGGGGAAUAUUGCACAAUGGGCGCAAGCCUGAUGCAGCCAUGCCGCGUGUAUGAAGAAGGCCUUCGGGUUGUAAAGUACUUUCAGCGAGGAGGAAGGCGUUGUGGUUAAUAACCGCAGCGAUUGACGUUACUCGCAGAAGAAGCACCGGCUAACUCCGUGCCAGCAGCCGCGGUAAUACGGAGGGUGCAAGCGUUAAUCGGAAUUACUGGGCGUAAAGCGCACGCAGGCGGUCUGUCAAGUCGGAUGUGAAAUCCCCGGGCUCAACCUGGGAACUGCAUCCGAAACUGGCAGGCUAGAGUCUUGUAGAGGGGGGUAGAAUUCCAGGUGUAGCGGUGAAAUGCGUAGAAAUCUGGAGGAAUACCGGUGGCGAAGGCGGCCCCCUGGACAAAGACUGACGCUCAGGUGCGAAAGCGUGGGGAGCAAACA